AUUUAAAUUUCUAAUAAUAUUUAUUGUUUGUUUUUUCAUUGAGUGACAGCAACACAAAACUUGCUCUGUAAACACACAGAAUAAAUUACAAUAUUUGAUAGAAUUGUUAUGUAUAGAGAGAAAAUUAUUUCUCAAUCAACUGACAAAGAAAAUAAAGUUAACAGAAAAAAACUCUAUCACAUCAAUGUAAUAUAACAACUGUUUGGCUAAUUUUCUCUAAUUACUUGAAGAGUUUAUAUAUCCAACACUACAUCUGAGCCCUAUGGUAAUACAAUUGGAUUGAUUGUGAAAAAUAUGUUUAUAAUAACUAAACACUUGAAUCUAAAAUAUGGCAUCAUUUAGAAGCACAACUAGAUAUGCUGGUAUUUAAAGUAAUACAUUAGUUUCUGUAAAACAUCACCAUGAAUUCAACAAAAAAAAAGUUAAAGCAUACCGAUAUUACUUAAAAGUGUAUACUUGGCACAGAAACAGACCAAUAAGUCAAUAAAUCAAACUUGGAAAAAAGAGUAUAACAGUAUCACAAUAGGUUUUCUUGACCACAGAAAAAUGAAUGCAACAUGGUGGUGGGACGUACUGCACAGAUUUCACACUGGUGAUUGGUACAUACAAUAUCAAGGAUAGGAAAUGGACAAUAGCAGAAGGAAUUUAAAAUUACUGCAUAAAAAAUCAAGGGACCAACUUAAAUUUAUUACUUAAAAUUUUAAAAGACUUCAAAAUUAUAAAUAUUAAAUGCAGAUAACAAAAAUAUAAACAUAACUUUUUCAAACUAAUAUAAACUAAAUAAAAAGUAUUUGACCACAUUGGGUAAUAAUUUUUUAAAAAAA